GCCGUGUAGAGGCACGGUUAUACUUUGUCAUCCGUAGUAUUUCCACCUCGGAAGAUCAGCUUACAGCCCGGCGUUACAGGGUGUCCUCAAAAAGAGAGAAGUGAAAGGGGAGAUGUUAUCUAUCGUGACCGGCGCUGCAGAGUCCGUCAGGCAUCACCAGCACUGCGUUGCAGGAAUUCCUGGCUUCCGAAACACGCCGCUUCUUCCCCAAAAGUUCUGAUACCUUGGCCCGACAGAUACUUCUUAUAUUUAAUCUUAAAACCGGAGACCGCCCUUAGAAACGUGAUGCUCUACAUCCAAUGCCGAAGCGAAACUGGAAGGGUAAAGCUCAUGUAUUUUUGAACCAUCUCACAGGCAGCCACCUGGCGGUCUUCCAGCAUGCUCUUUCUUUAAGUGUGCUCACUGUUUCUCUAUAUGAGACUGCUGAUCCAUCAGUUAAUCAUAUUGAGACAACCUAGAGUUUGUAGUGACAGAUGAGAUCUUCAUUGCCCUCAACACCACAAAAAUUUGGAGCAAAUAGCCAGUUCUUGCCCCAGAGAACCUUACAUUUUGGUUGAGCAAUAGGAAACAUUAUCUUGGAAGAUGCUAUGUUGUUUCACAGCAGUCUGAGAAAUCCUGGUUUCAGAUUUUCUAUCCACCACCUAUUUCAUGAACGUUAUUUUGGGCUCUAUCCUCAGCUGGCAUAAAUCAAACACUGGGCUACAUAAGUCGGCAGAGCCGUGCUGAUUUACGUUUGCUGCGUCACUUCAGUGAAGACAAUGAAGUUAUGCCAGCUGACAUCAGCUCGGGAUCUGGCCCUCAGCUGCUGUCGAUGCCGUUUAGUGCCGCUCUUCUCUUUCUACCGCUUCCUUAGCCCUGCGAGAUCCUUCUGGCUCACUGCAACGAGGAGCCAAGUGAGGCAGCUCCUCUUCCUGUGCCCAGCCUCCUCCCCCAGCUCAUUAACUCCAGUAGGAACGGGGGUGUGGGAGGGGAGAGGAUCCGGCCCUUUAGAGGUGGUUCCAUUUAUAAAUAUUGACUUUAAUGUUAAUUUCAUGUAGUUGCUUGUAAAAGUCUUUUAGGCUGAAGCAGAAGGCAUACUGCAGAUGGCAAGGAUAUUUUUCACAGUUUUUACGGUGGAUAACAAUAUACUUGACAUUUUGCUCAUUAAAUGUGAGCCCUGGUAUGUGAGUAAACAUGCUAGGCAUCUGCGCUCUAAAAUUACCACUGCGAAAAGCAACAACUGAAAUGUUUCAGUCAAUAAAUGUACAGCACAGAAGCAACAUUCAGCAACUUUCUGAAUGCUGCGCGCAAGGCGUGGACUCAAUUUGCAGUAUUACAUGGAACACUCUAGAACCAACAAGGGAGAGAUAACAUAUUGCUUUCACAUCCGUGCCUUGGAGAGUGAGGACUGAAUCUAAAAAUCUCUAAAGUCGGUGUAAACACAUGGCACACCAUACCCAUUGACUUCUGUUUCUAAGGAAAUCGACACGUGCAUAGUCAACCCACAAAACUACAGUGGAAAGAAAGGAAGGUAACAUAAAUCAGCUGAAAAAAUAGUUGAUCUAUAGAGGAAAAGGCAGUUCGCCAUUGCAAAGAAGAGCAUAAGAAGGAGUGGAAAGACCGAUGUGCAGUGCAAUGCAAGCAGUAGUGAUGAGUGUCCAGCCAGAAGGAGAUCAAGGAGAAUGGAUAGCACAAAAUUGGUUCUUCUCCUUUCCACUACAGCAAGUUUCCUGGUCCCUGUCUUUGGGUUUUGGCCUAAAGAAAUGGAAAAAGAAAAAAAGAAAAAAGAAAAGUACAAAAGCUCAAAUGGUAAGAAAAGCCGGAAGGCUAAGGUAGCUGUAGGAUCUUAAACUAGUACGUGCUUUUUUACUUGUGUUUUAAACAUUCUGGAAAUUCUGCCUUCAGAUGGCUGCAAUUCUGAACAGUGGUGAGAUAAAACAAAACGAGAAGGAAAAAACAAUUAGCUUAAGACAUCUUGUAAUGUGCACAAAUCCAAGCUGUUCCAGAAACCAAUGUCAUGUAGGCAAAGAUAGCAAGUUCAAAUUUAAAUAACAAAAGAUAUCUAGAUUGAAGUAAGAGGGAGACUGGUGUCUCAUAGUUUUAUUCAUGGAUUUAGUAUAUGUUUUGGCACAGUUCUUCUUGAGAAGACAGCUAAUUUGAUAUUUAA